UCUAUAUAUACCAUUUUUAUGGUCGGGCGUCCACGGCUGAUUGGUAUAUCAAAUCAAACACAAGGGUGUAUAUCAUGCCCCUGAGUGUUCACGCCUCACUGGGUGGUCACGUAAUAAGGUGUGGCACCAGCAUCUCGGGUUACAAUUUGAUAUUAAUUCAAGUACUCCACUGAUAAUGUACAUAGGUAGUUAACUUAAUUACAUUCAGUUUUGUCCGACAAGGAGCGAGUUUACUUUUUUUUAGACACAGACUUUGUAACAGGCUCUUCCCCUGGAAACACAUAUAUUGUAAAUAAAUAUUUUGCCGUUUCCAUCAACUUUAUCACGUGAUGUUCUAUAACUGUUGUCUUGUACACUAUCCAUAGUGUAAGUCAGCUGGCUCGAGGAAUUUUCAUAUAGUAUUAUCAUUAAACAACAUACCCUAUGCAACAGUUAUGUUGCUACCCAGACAAAACUAUUUUUAUAUUCUAUGUUAAAUGUAAACGAUCAGUUUUUAUUAUAAAUACAAAACCACCUUUUAAGCGGUAAUACCUAUCACGCAUUAAACAACAUAUAUGAACAACCAUGUGAUUAUAAAGUCUCACGUUGGUUCCUCCGUGCAACUUCAUGCCUGACUUACAUUCAUAUUGUUCUUUCACCACACUUACGCUUCUCCAAAUUUAGAAAGAAGCUGUGUACACAGUGUUCUUGCGAGUUACAAUAACGCGUCCGGUUUGGCGGCAACUUCAAAGAGUGGACAUAUGGUUGCUCCUUCAGGUAGCUAUAAUUACCCUCUCUAUAAUGCAAUAUCGUAUUAUCCAUUUGUAAUGAAUGAUAGUAACACUAAAUCGGAUUGGAUUCAGUUAAAUCUACAUUUCUCAAGGUCUCUAACAUCGAGAUUUGAAAUAUCUUUCAUGUAAAUACCUUCUUUGUCAUGUGACUUGUAUAUAUUCGUGUAUAUUCAGAAUCGUACCUACGCACAAUGUCUUUGAACAAUGGCACAAGCAACGUGGUCUCUUUCUGUAAAACAUAGCACUCUUUAUUUCAGCCACAGCAAAGAUCCCGAACCACGUGCAGUCAGCAGAGUUACAGCGUCUGGUUACCGUCUUGCAGUUACGAUACAGAAUAUGUGCACAUAGCUUUCAAUGACCAGACGAAAAAAAGAAUUCAUUUCAAGUAUGUUGAGAAGAAAACGACCCAUCUCUGAAAAAAUCACCUCACCCAAGAAAAUACGACUCAUUCAUGAGAAUGAAAAGUGCAAAGUCUCCCAAGAAAUUGUCUUGUAAUAUAGCAUGUGAAUAAAUAAUUUUUUGAAAUAU